AAAAAAGAGGAUCACCUUCAUUAUCUAAUUCACCGAGAAUGGAUCCAAGACCUCUCCAAGGGCCCAAGUUCAAGAAUCCUUACCAUGAAAGUCAAAAUGCCUUUGCUUCUCCAGGAGAGCCGGAGAAAAGCAUGGAUAAGGGCCAUGAGUCUAAAAGAAAGAGAUCGCCAGCUUUUGAAGAAAAAGCAUCGAUCAAGUCUGAUGAUAAUUCAUCACAGCGAUAUGAAGGCAUUAUAACGGAUGACAUCUUGUCUGAUACAUGGAUACUGAAGAGGUUGGGACAAAAUGCAAAUGGAAAGAGAGUGCAAUUUCAUCAUCUGUUUGAUAAUACCUGGCAGAGAGGGACUGUUGUAGAAGUUUUUGAAGGCUCAUCUGUUGUGUCUGUUGUUCUUGAUGAUGGGAAGAAGAUUAACUUGGAACUUGGACAGCAAGCAAUAAGUUUAAUAUCUUCGAAGGAGAU
rnacentral:misc_RNA from 1 species